rnacentral:lncRNA from 1 species
UGUCAAACGACGUGCACAAACGACCAGAUUGUCGUGGAGAAAACGAUUGUUCGUGUAGAGCAAGGCCAUCUGUUGCUGACCCGCUUUUACGACGUCAGGAUGACAGUGACCAACUACAGACAUAUUUUAACCAAGUAGAUCGAUUCGAGGAUGUCACAGCGUUAUCAUGAUGACCCGAGCAACGCCCGAUAGCUACGUUCCGCGGGCUUCCUAUGAAUAAAUAUACAGGCUGGGCUUAAAGUGGCGCGAAAUAAGUUUCGGAGGAUGGUGAAGGUGAAAUUCUCGUUAUUUUGGUGACAAGUUUCCAAUCGAUUCAGCCUCGAUGCGCUGGCGACCGAAACUUAAUUACCUAUACAGGCAGCCGAUAAGGGAAAGUGGUGAACUACUGGCUUGUCUAUCACUUUCUAAUCCACGUCUCAUCGAAAAGGCCUGAAUAAUUAUUUUUUCAGGCUGCUGCGAUCUCUUCGGUGGCACGAUGGCUUUGGGCACUGCGUAUCGCUUGCGGGUCAACCGACGAUAUAAAAAGUUUCGAAAUAACUAAACAUCGAGAAAGGAUUUGCCAACGAGGAUUGCGAGAGUGAAUGACGCACGAAUGAAACGUGGCUCGUUUUCGGUUGUGAAGGUUUUUAUUUUCAAUUUUUUAAUUUCAAAUAUUCUAGUAUUCGUUACGAUCGCACGAUUUAUGUUUAUGUACAGCCGAUGGAUUUUAAAUUGUGAUUAAUUGGUAAAUUAAUAGGAUUUUUCGUACUUACCCGAUGUGACGCUCGCGAAGUUUGAUCGUAUCACUUUUGUGCAUUUGCUCAAGCGAAUCGGCCAUCAUGAUUUCCUCUUUCCAAUCGCUGUUUAUCUGGGAUUAACAAAAUUGAAAAUCGCUCAAUGAAGCAUCACCGGUGAGCCUGAUCCGCUUAUAUUUUACUGAUUUUAUCAAUAAUUCAUCGGGAAAUGUUCAUCGGGAAUCAAAUGAAGUAUCAGUUUAAUCGGAAGACACGGAUCCGAUUGCCAAUGUCGUUGGUUCACGAGACCACUUUACGUUACGACGUGAAUAGCGCUUUUAAUUUACCCUCCCGCAUCCAUCGUUUCCGAACGAACGAUUUUUUCAAAGAGACUUUGACAUUGCAUUUUCUUCCUCAUUCUCAAGUACUUUUGAACGAUUCCAUGAAAUCACGAUCCCGGGAAUUUUGAGAGUCCAAACCGCGACAAAACGAUCACUCGGAAGCGUAAAAAGUACUCAGAAAAAUUCUGAUGACUGAAACUCUCCCCAAAAUGUUGAAGUACAAAAAAAUCCACAAGAAUUAACUAGAAAUAAAGCAUUAGAAAAUAGUUCUGAGCCAAUAAAAUCGUUCAAAAAAUCA